CCCUUAGAUGUUCUGGGCCGCACGCGCGCUACACUGACAGGGUCAGCGAGUACAUCACCUUGGCCGAGAGGUCCGGGUAAUCUUGUUAAACCCUGUCGUGCUGGGGAUAGAGCAUUGCAAUUAUUGCUCUUCAACGAGGAAUGCCUAGUAGGCACGAGUCAUCAGCUCGUGCCGAUUACGUCCCUGCCCUUUGUACACACCGCCCGUCGCUACUACCGAUUGAAUGGCUUGGUGAGGCCUUCGGACUGGCUCCAGGGGGUUGGCAACGACCCCCCAGAGCCGGAAAGUUGGUCAAACCUGGUCAUUUAGAGGAAGUAAAANUCGUAACA
rnacentral:rRNA from 1 species